AUGGAUCCUAAUCAUUUUCAUUAUCAACAAGCUAUGUUCAAUUACAUGUCAAAUUAUCAAAAUCCUAAUCCUCAAACUUCUCAAUUUCCAUCUGUGCCAACAAACCCCGCCAUAUUUUUUCCGGAAACACCGAUUGGUUUAUGUCUGGAUGUCAAGUUCCACCAGUUUCUACUCAAGUUGGUACUGAAAAAGAAGAAAGGGUUGUCGUUAAAAAAAAAUCUCAAGAGCAAUUUACAAGGGAUGAAGAUAUACUGCUUAUCCAAUCAUGGCUCAAUGUUUCAAAGGAUCCAAUUGUGGGAGUUGAUCAAAAAGCUGAGAGUUUUUGGUUAA
rnacentral:lncRNA from 1 species